ensembl:lncRNA
AAGACAGGGCCACUCAGCUCGUGUCCCAGCUCCAGACGAGUGGCGACAAAGGGGGCCUUGUCACUCUGGGGGUGGGUGGAGAGGUUUCAUAAAGUGACUUGCCACUACAACGUAGAACGGUAAAAAGAUCCUUCCUGGAGUGGGCCUGUGGGGGUGCUUGCUGAGGGGAAGGGGAGGAGAUGCAGGAGCCGGCAGGAUAUUGCUGGCCAAAUCAUCCAGUCAGUUAGAGAUCAUCUUACCUGUACAGGCAAAGAUGCUCCGCUUGAGAAUAAAAGCCCUAGACCCUCAUUACCGUACCUCGACAUGAGUGUGUAGCACCAUGCUAGCAUAAUGAGCAUCCGUGCAGAAGGCCAAAGGAGCAUUUCUGAGGCCUGUGGAGCAACAAAACAACAGACGCUACAAGCAAACACACAUACCUGCAUACAAGAGCUGCUGCUUCACCUCUCACCCUGAAGGAGAGAGAGAAAACAAGGCUGAACUCAGGAUGAGUGGGUAUCAGCCACCCGGGAUGCAGUCGUCUCCCUGCCGAAGGCUGCAGGCUGUCUGCUCCUCCAGACAGACAGCGGUAAAUAAGGCCUAAGUCUCAUUAUCCCAGCACCAGGCCUCGACAGCUGCAUUCAUCCAAAAUGCAUUUCUACCUAAAGGUUAAGAGUAGUUAUGAGGACAGUAAUGUAUUAUUAAAAUACCUUUCGGACUGAAGUACCUUUUGAUAUAUUUUCCCAGGUAAUGAAAGCAGCGUUCGGAGGGGGGAAAUGUAGUAAUUUGCUGUCCCAUUUUGUCGGCUGCUUUAUUCUCUCUCUCUCUUCCUCUCCCUGUCUC